UUUAACAGCGGAUGGGUUUGCUCCACAGGCCCUUUUCUUCAAUCUCCCGUGGUGGUUGUGGCUGGCGUGGCGGAGCUGUAGCCUUAGCGUGCUGGUUAGGGUCGGGCUUCCACACAGCGUGAGUGGCUGCUGGGGUGUGGAGAGCCGACUGCUCCGCUGAAUGCGGUGCGCGCGGCUGGAUGUCUGCUCCGAUCAUUGGAUAACCGAACCGUGGGAUCGGAGGCAUUGGCGCUUCUCUUGGUUCCUGGGUAUGCCAACCGAGCGAGGCGGCAGGCUUGGGCUGUGCGCCGCCGUCACUCUCUGAGGGAGCUCUGCUGCUGUUUUGGCUCUGCCGGGUUUUCCUCCGUCCGUCUG